UUUUCUUUUUCCUCCCUGUGGUCAUCACCUACCAUUUAUCUGAUUAUGACUCAAAAGGAAACAUGUGUGUUGAUUUAGACUGCUUCAACAUUCCAGUUCCAAUCUGAAGCUAUCUAUCUUCCCAAAUGGAAUGUUAUGCAGACCUCUUGUCCUCCCUCCUGCUUGUUGUGGCAGAGAUUUAUACUUGUAAUUUCCCAGAACAUUUGAAUUAGAGAUGUGAGCCCCGAUGCCAACUGUCUACAGGUUGAAGUUAUAAAGAGGCUUAGGCACAUCAUGUUGAAGGGAGCAAUUUGGGAAGAGUCUCACUGUGUUGCCCAGGCUGGAGUACAAUGCU
rnacentral:lncRNA from 1 species